rnacentral:rRNA from 1 species
UACGUAGGGGGCAAGCGUUGUCCGGAUCUAUUGGGCGUAAAGAGCUUGUAGGCGGCUUUACAGGUCCGUUGUGAAAACUCGAGGCUCAACCUCGAGACGCCGGUGGAAACCGUAAGGCUAGAGUCCGGAAGAGGAGAGUGGAAUUCCUGGUGUAGCGGUGAAAUGCGCAGAUAUCAGGAAGAACACCCGUGGCGAAGGCGGCUCUCUGGGACGGUACUGACGCUGAGACGCGAAAGCGUGGGGAGCGAACAGG